rnacentral:rRNA from 1 species
AUUGAACGCUGGCGGCAUGCCUUACACAUGCAAGUCGAACGGCAGCACGGGUGCUUGCACCUGGUGGCGAGUGGCGAACGGGUGAGUAAUACAUCGUAACAUGUCCUGUAGUGGGGGAUAGCCCGGCGAAAGCCGGAUUAAUACCGCAUACGAUCUACGGAUGAAAGCGGGGGACCUUCGGGCCUCGCGCUAUAGGGUUGGCCGAUGGCUGAUUAGCUAGUUGGUGGGGUAAAGGCCUACCAAGGCGACGAUCAGUAGCUGGUCUGAGAGGACGACCAGCCACACUGGGACUGAGACACGGCCCAGACUCCUACGGGAGGCAGCAGUGGGGAAUUUUGGACAAUGGGCGAAAGCCUGAUCCAGCAAUGCCGCGUGUGUGAAGAAGGCCUUCGGGUUGUAAAGCACUUUUGUCCGGAAAGAAAUCCUUGGCCCUAAUACGGUCGGGGGAUGACGGUACCGGAAGAAUAAGCACCGGCUAACUACGUG